rnacentral:rRNA from 1 species
AUUCCAGCUCCAAUAGCGUAUAUUAAAGUUGUUGCAGUUAAAAAGCUCGUAGUUGAACUUCGGAUCUGGCCAGGCGGUCCGUCUUACGGCGUGUACUGUCAGGCCGGAUCUUCCCUCUUGGUGAGCCAGCAUGUCCUUUAUUGGGUGUGUUGGUAAACCAGGACUUUUACUUUGAAAAAAUUAGAGUGUUCAAAGCAGGCCUAUGCCCGAAUAUAUUAGCAUGGAAUAAUAAAAUAGGACGUGCGGUUCUAUUUUGUUGGUUUCUAGGAUCGCCGUAAUGAUUAAUAGGGACAGUUGGGGGCAUUAGUAUUCACAUGCUAGAGGUGAAAUUCUUGGAUUUUGUGAAGACUAACUUCUGCGAAAGCAUUUGCCAAGGAUGUUUUCAUCA